rnacentral:rRNA from 1 species
UACAGAGGGUGCGAGCGUUAAUCGGAAUUACUGGGCGUAAAGCGCGCGUAGGCGGCUUUGCAAGUCGAGUGUGAAAUCCCCAGGCUUAACCUGGGAACUGCAAUCGAGACUGCAUAGCUAGAGUAUGGGAGAGGGAAGUGGAAUUUCAGGUGUAGCGGUGAAAUGCGUAGAUAUCUGAAGGAACAUCAGUGGCGAAAGCGACUUCCUGGACCAAUACUGACGCUCAUGUGCGAAAGCGUGGGGAGCAAACAGG